GGCGGACGGGUGAGUAACACGUGGGUAACCUGCCCUUAAGUGGGGGAUAACAUUUGGAAACAGAUGCUAAUACCGCAUAGAUCCAAGAACCGCAUGGUUCUUGGCUGAAAGAUGGCGUAAGCUAUCGCUUUUGGAUGGACCCGCGGCGUAUUAGCUAGUUGGUGAGGUAACGGCUCACCAAGGCGAUGAUACGUAGCCGAACUGAGAGGUUGAUCGGCCACAUUGGGACUGAGACACGGCCCAAACUCCUACGGGAGGCAGCAGUAGGGAAUCUUCCACAAUGGACGCAAGUCUGAUGGAGCAACGCCGCGUGAGUGAAGAAGGCUUUCGGGUCGUAAAACUCUGUUGUUGGAGAAGAAUGGUCGGCAGAGUAACUGUUGUCGGCGUGACGGUAUCCAACCAGAAAGCCACGGCUAACUACGUGCCAGCAGCCGCGGUAAUACGUAGGUGGCAAGCGUUAUCCGGAUUUAUUGGGCGUAAAGCGAGCGCAGGCGGUUUUUUAAGUCUGAUGUGAAAGCCCUCGGCUUAACCGAGGAAGCGCAUCGGAAACUGGCAAACUUGAGUGCAGAAGAGGACAGUGGAACUCCAUGUGUGGCGGUGAAAUGCGUAGAUAUAUGGAAGAACACCAGUGGCGAAGGCGGCUGUCUGGUCUGUAACUGACGCUGAGGCUCGAAAGCAUGGGUAGCGAACAGGAU
rnacentral:rRNA from 1 species